AGUGUGUCACAGGCGGAGUAAGGGAAUCACAGCCAUCCAUUCCUCGCUGCCCGGUUCAAAGGAAAUCACGUUCGUCACACCAGCGUGGCUGCUUCCUGCGAUCUCUCUCCAUCCGGAGAAUCGCUUGGGUGCUGCAGAGGGUUCACGCGGAACGAGAGAGAUAUUGCAAUGUUACGUGGGUGGACCAGACUUAUCAACGACGUGACGUGCUAAUGAGGUGACGGACUGAUGGAAUGAAUUGAGGCGAUAACAAAUGAGAUGAUGGUGGACUGAUGUGGUGACGAACGGAUGGGAUGAGACUGAAGGGACAGCAGUGGCAAGGGAACAGGUGAAGGGAGGAAGGAAUGGUGAUGUAACAGGCGGCGAAUUGGCGGGACUGUUGCUCGUAUUCUCAAACACUUCUGUGCUUAACCUCCACUAUUUCAAAAGGCUUUAUUUAAAUCUACACGAGUCUUUUAAGAUGUUUUCACGGUUCUAGAGGAAUAUUGACAAGAUUUCUACAUUAUUAACUGGUGAAACGCUAUUGAAAUUCCCGCUAAUCGUCUCUGUGGCCCUUGGAAAAUAAUCGUGAUGAGAGAGAGAGCAAAGCGUUUCUGAAUACAAACCUGAUAGAUAGGCUGAGUAGCGCCAACAGGAGAACAUAAACCUUAAUGAAUGCAGAAUUAUUUAAACAUAUAUUUCACGGCAGAACAUCCCGUGAAAACCUACCCCGAGUGACACCGCAAGUUCAUGAUAAAAAAAUGAAAGAAAGCUACAUAUAAACUCCAUCCAGCACAAAAGGAGAGAAGAAAUAAGAACAGUGUUAGAAAGAAAAUGAAGAGAAAAGUAAUGGGGCGCGGUUAAGUAAGAAGUCAGUUAAGCAUCACAAAGAGCAGGAUCACCACUUUCCUUAAUGGCUCUAUUAAUUUUGUCUCCAUUUUCUCCUUUUGCGCUUUGGCUAGACGGAAGCAACACCCACUGGCAGG
rnacentral:lncRNA from 1 species